rnacentral:rRNA from 1 species
AGUCGAGCGGGAUCCAUCCAGUAGCAAUACUGGUGAAGAUCUAGCGGCGAACGGGUGAGUAACACGUGAGAAACCUGCCCCGGACUCUGGGAUAACACGAGGAAACUCGUGCUAAUACCGGAUAUCUUCUUUUGACCGCAUGGUCAGCUGAAGAAAGAUUUAUCGGUUUGGGAGGGUCUCGCGGCCUAUCAGCUAGUUGGCGGGGUAACGGCCCACCAAGGCAUCGACGGGUAGCUGGUCUGAGAGGACGAUCAGCCACACUGGGACUGAGACACGGCCCAGACUCCUACGGGAGGCAGCAGUGGGGAAUCUUGCGCAAUGGGCGAAAGCCUGACGCAGCAACGCCGCGUGCGGGAUGAAGGCCUUCGGGUUGUAAACCGCUUUCAGCAGGGAAGAAAUUGACGGUACCUGCAGAAGAAGCCCCGGCCAACUACGUGCCAGCAGCCGCGGUAACACGUAGGGGGCGAGCGUUGUCCGGAUUUAUUGGGCGUAAAGAGCUCGUAGGCGGUUCGGUAAGUCGGGUGUGAAACCUCCAGGCUCAACCUGGAGACGCCACCUGAUACUGCUGUGACUAGAGUCCGGUAGGGGAGUGUGGAACUCCUGGUGUAGCGGUGAAAUGCGCAGAUAUCAGGAAGAACACCAGCGGCGAAGGCGGCACUCUGGGCCGGUACUGACGCUGAGGAGCGAAAGCGUGGGUAGCAAACAGGAUUAGAUACCCUGGUAGUCCACGCCGUAAACGUUGGGCACUAGGUGUGGGUCUCAACCAACGAGAUCCGUGCCGCAGCUAACGCAUUAAGUGCCCCGCCUGGGGAGUACGGCCGCAAGGCUA